UCCGCUGUAGCAAAGUUGUCUUUCAAUAGAUGAAUUCGGCACAUUCAUUGUGCCCCGGGUUCGAGUCCCGGCAGCGGAA